rnacentral:rRNA from 1 species
AUUGAACGCUGGCGGCAGGCCUAACACAUGCAAGUCGAGCGAGCGGCGGACGGGUGAGUAAUGUCUGGGAAACUGCCUGAUGGAGGGGGAUAACUACUGGAAACGGUAGCUAAUACCGCAUACCAUCAGAUGUGCCCAGAUGGGAUUAGCUAGUAGGUGGGGUAAUGGCUCACCUAGGCGACGAUCCCUAGCUGGUCUGUGAGGAUGACCAGCCACACUGGAACUGAGACAAGGUCCAGACCCCUACGGGAGGCAGCAGUGGGGAAUAGUGCACAAUGGGCGCAAGCCUGAUGAAGCCAUGCCGCGUGGAGGAAGAAGGCCUUCGGGUUGUAAAGUACUUUCAGCGAGGAGGCGUUACUCGCAGAAGAAGCACCGGCUAACUCCGUGCCAGCAGCCGCGGUAAUUC